UAAAAUCUAAGUGAGAAGAGAAAAAAAGAAGAAAAGAAAACAGAAGUAGCUUGAGUUCCCGACUUCGGUCAGAGAGAAAAGAGAGUAAUAAUCUUGAACGUUGAAUCCCGUGGAAAAUUGAAGAGUAAUCGAAAGGGGGUUUCUCUUUGUGUUCUUGAUUGAAGGUUAACGGUGUCUUUGGCUUCGAUAGGCGAGCUUCGGAGGUUAAGGUUUGAUUUGCGUUUAUAGGUAAUGUUGAUGUUACUGGUAUUGACUCGGGAGAAAGAGAGUUUUGUGUUUGGGUCGAGUAAAGGGUCUCGGUUUAUGUCUAGGGAGGUGACUGCCGGUAUCUUUUUGGGGGCAGUUCUGUGUUUGUAGUCUUUGAAGGUGAUGUGUUUAACUUAAAGUCCAACUUUUGUAGAUUGUGUGUAUAUAUAUACCUAUCACAAAACACACUGUAUUCAUAUGUUUAGUAAAGCUAUGAAUGUAAAUUAUUCCUUUUAAAAUCUUA